ACUAUAAUAAUAAGGGGAACCUGGAAGUUAACACAGGAGAAGAAUGGGCUGGGUGAGAGGACAAACAGGAGAACAAAAAGGAAAAGUAACUCAAACCGAAAACCCCCGGGGCUGUGACUUGGGGGCGAGGAGGGCCGGACUGUGCGGCCCCGGGGGCCUUGGUACCCUGGACUCUGGCCCCUCUCGGCCUCGGCCGGGUUCCCCGCCCGGAGGCAAACCGAUGCAUUGGGAGGAUCGAACCCUUGGGGCCCACCAGGCACGAGCACCAGCAAGUCCAUCACCCAUUUGCUGAAACCUUCAGAGCCAGCGAAUUACGUUUCUCAAGUGCACUUGCUGAGACUGGGAAGCCUGGCACUAUCUGCUGCUCUUCUUACUGGGGAGAUGGCAUUGCCCAUUGGGAAUCAGCAGGAGGAUCUGAGAUCCUUGCUGAGCCAGACCAAGCUGAAGGGCUUGGACCAUCCAUCGAACCUAGACUUCUGGCUUGCAUUGCCAAGAAUAGACCAGAGGGAAAAUUGCGAGACCAACUUCUAACAUAUGGAAACUUUCUCCAUGCUUCAAGUCACUCUGACAAGAAAAAAGUCAUGAUUUGCAGACAUAGUGCAGUGAAGCACAAAGAACCCUAAACUGAGAAUCAGGAGACGUGCGUUCUUCUCUGGUCUCUUCCAUUAACUUGCUGUGUGACUUGAGGCAAGUCACUGUCCCUCUCUACACCUCAGCUUCUCAUCUAUAAAAUGAAGGGAUGGACUAGUUGAUUCUGACUUCCCUUUCUGGUCUAAAAUUUGAUGAAUCUGUAAAAUGCUUUACCAUCAAAUGAAAAAUGAAUUUAUAAAUGCUUUUAGGAGGGGCAGUCUUACAUAUAGAUGUAUCCUAUGGACCAUUAAACUAUUCUUUUUUUUUUUUUUUU